GGACUUUGAGAGGUGAGCACAGUCCUUCUCCACACUGUGUUCCCAAGGCCUUCCCAUCCCCGUCUCACGUGCCACCAAGGAAACAUGUGACCUAAAAAAGGCCACAGUUCGCUUCUGGAGACCGCUCAAGGGAAGCCCCGUUCUCGGCUUCCUCCUCAAGCUCCCUUCAUUCUCCAGAUGAUGCAAACCUUCCAAAUGCAGAAAUCCUCCCAGACCUAAGCAUCUUGGAGAAGAAUACUGGACCUGAGGGACCCCAGGCCUGGAUAUUAACCCCAUCUUUAUGUGUGGAGACAUUUACUUCCAUGUUGCUUUGCUUCUGAUGGAAGCUUCCAAGACCCAGCCUGCUCUCCCUGCCUGAAGGAUGGUCAGCAGGAAGCACACAUUCCCAAGGCUCCUGGCAGAGAGGAUGGGACACACCUGGACCGCGAACCUCUGGAUCUGUCCCCCCAAGCACCGGCUUUGUGCUGUCCUUUCUUCCAUGAGCAACCUCACGGGCAUCAUUUUAAAAAUAAUUAUUCCCCCAGAGGACCAGCCUCAAGUUCUGCCGGAGAGAAAAGCGUCAGUGCUGAGACAUCUUUGACAGCCUCCAAUUUCUUAAUGGCAAAGUGAAGAACCAAAGACAGCUUUCAUUAUUCUCUGCUCCACGGCAUUCCAAGCACCCUACCGGGGCUUGCUCCGGCUUUAUGGAAUGAGCGAAUAAACAAUUCUCUAUUCCAAUGGCCUCUAUC